CCCCAGGUCCCCUGCUCUAUAGACGAACCUGCGUCUGGGGCUGGGCUCCGCCCAAUUUUUGCACCGGGUGCCAUUCCAUGUUCCCUGACCUCGGAGGAACUCCUUCUGAUAAGGGUUCAGUAUGGAGUUCCUUCAGAGUACGAUCUGGAGCUGCCUGGCCCUUCUGACUGGGCCAGCACUCCCCCAUCUGGUCGUUUUUGUCUGUACCAGGAAGCAUUCCGCGCCGGACUCCGGCUUCCGCUUCCCUCCUUUGUUGUUGCCCUCUUCCACUUCUUAGACAUCUCCUUGGCUUCCGUGGCC
rnacentral:lncRNA from 1 species